CUUAACACAUGCAAGUCGAGGGGCAUCGGGAUGUAGCAAUACAUUGCCGGCGACCGGCGCACGGGUGAGUAACACGUAUCCAACCUGCCUUUUACUCGGGGAUAGGCUUUCGAAAGAAAGAUUAAUACCCGAUGGCAUAAUAUUUCCGCAUGGGAUUAUUAUUAAAGAAUUUCGGUAAAAGAUGGGGAUGCGUUCCAUUAGGCAGUUGGCGGGGUAACGGCCCACCAAACCUUCGAUGGAUAGGGGUUCUGAGAGGAAGGUCCCCACAUUGGAACUGAGACACGGUCCAAACUCC
rnacentral:rRNA from 1 species